rnacentral:rRNA from 1 species
AUGGAGGCUGCGCGGUAUGGACCUUGGUCAGAUCUUCCGCCGGAACUCCUGGGCCUUGUCCUCAAGCGCCUCCCUUCGCUAGCUGACCGUGUUCGUCUGAGAGCAGUCUGUCACCCAUGGCGCUCUAAUGGUCUGCUGCAACAGCUUCCCAUCCCAUUCCCGUGGCUCACCCUUCCUGAUGGUACCUUCUUCAGCAUCCCAGGAGGCGAGGUUCACCGCAUGCCUAUACCAGAUGGUGCUAGAUGUUGUGGUGCCAUCGACAACUGGUUAUUCCUCAUGAGCAGUGAUGACACAUGCACGUUGAUGAACCCUUUCUCCAAGACCACGUUCGAGCUUCCUAAUCUGGUCGCAGUUUGGCGGCGUGAGGCGCAUUAUGAAUCUGAUCCUAAGCAACUUUUGUACAAGUUGGUCACACCCUCAGCCCUGGACAUAUCACCUGAUUCCCUCAUUGCGGCAUUGACCAAGGAUGGUGGCAAUGGUACACUUUGCAUUAGCCAGCCACCGAUUGCCACUUACAUGGUACAGGGCAAUAGGAAGCCAUUGCAGCACCUAUUUGAUGUUGCCUUCUUUGAUGGAAAGUUGUACGCGGUGUCUGUCUUUGGCAAGCUCUUCAGCCUUAAGUUUCGCAACAACCUUGGUAGUAAGCCGAAGAUCAAAUGCGUAAUUGAGUCUUUGGGUGACUGUCGUGGAGGACCAGAAUGCAUUCCCAGAGAGGAAGUGUGUACAUACAGGUUAUAUCUAGUUGAAUGUGGUGGUAGACUGUUGAUGGUUAGACGAUUUAUUCGUCACAUAGGCCCUCUCUCUAGGGAUUAUGUGUUUGAAAAUAUGCAGACUGGUGGGUUUGUUGUCCUCGAGGCAGACUUGGGCUCCAACCCUUGCCGAUGGAGAAGGAUCAGUGAGUUGGGUGCUCUCUUUAUUGGCCAGCAUGGCUCCAAGUCUAUGCCUGCUAGAGAAUGCAGCGGAUCUGAAGAAGAUUGCAUCUACUUCAUUUGUGACUAUCCCCAUCCAAAGUAUUUUUCGAGUCCAUUUCGCGACUGGUGUGUACAACAUGCGAAAUGA